UACGUAGGGUGCGAGCGUUGUCCGGAAUUAUUGGGCGUAAAGAGCUUGUAGGUGGUUUGUCGCGUCUGCUGUGAAAAUCCGAGGCUCAACCUCGGACUUGCAGUGGGUACGGGCAGACUAGAGUGUGGUAGGGGAGACUGGAAUUCCUGGUGUAGCGGUGGAAUGCGCAGAUAUCAGGAAGAACACCAAUGGCGAAGGCAGCUCUCUGGGACGGUACUGACGCUGAGACGCGAAAAGCGUGGGGGAGCGAACAGG
rnacentral:rRNA from 1 species